rnacentral:tRNA from 1 species
CGGRUCAUAGUUUAGUGGUAAAA